CAUAGAGACCUUAAUAUGGCUUUUUGUGUUUUCAACAACAGAGAUAACAAUAACACUUGUGACACUUGGAGUUCUGAGACAGGUAAACUGACACAAGGUGGAGCUGUCUGAGUGCUCCCCAUGGACCAUGCCUCAAAUGCAGCAGAAGACAUUGGGCGAGACAGUGCCCCAUCCUGGCGUUCUUUGAGACCUUAUCCCAGGGCUACUGGACUGUCCUAGCCACCAGAGAGUGGGUAAGCCAUCCUAACUUCUAGCCCUCACAGGAAAUGCCAACAUGCUAGAUUCAUCGCUGACAGAUCUGCUUAAACUUGCUGCUAAAGACUGAUGGGGCUCACGGCCAACAGCAGCCCCCUUUAUGGGUGUCCAUCUGAGAGUCCAAGUCCCACUAAAUGUCUCAGGCUGACCCAGCACUGAGGUCUCAACAUCUUACACCUGUUAUUGCUAGUAAACCUCUCCUCAGUGAUAUAAGACCAUCUCCUUCCUUUCUUAUUCACCAAUUUCUCAGGCAACUCUGGUCAAGAUUGACAGUCUGACAUAUGUGCAUUCACCAGUGAAGUUGUCCUGGCUAAAACACCUGGCACCAGCUUCUACCUGGGCAUCAACCGUCAUCCUGUCAACUCCCCUAGACUCCAGUACAGUGCCCUCUUCCAGCAGGAAGCAAUUAAAGAAAGAAAUCUUUGCCCCUUUUCAUAAUAAUAAUCAUAAGACGGGAUAUGAAAGAGUUUUGGCCCAGGCGGGACACUGUGGCUGGAAAAGCCUCAGCCAGAAACCAAGGAGCUCGUAUCUCCCCCAGCCUUAGGAAUUUACCUAUGGCUCUAUCUUCCCCACCCCUAGGAAUUUUCCUAUGGUGCCAAAAUAAUACCAAUUAGCUCCUUGUGCAUCCCUAAUGCCCCUCAGGCACCACCCCUAACCUAAGCUACAUGUAUGCCUCCACUCCACGUGUUCCACAGAGAGAUCGCUGACCCCAGGGGGAGAUGCCACACCCCAGGGGAUUGGGGGUAUCUCUCUCUGCAUUCUCAAAAUAAAGGUUAUUUAUAUUUCA